rnacentral:tRNA from 1 species
AAGGGUUUAAGUUAAUUAAAACUAACAACCUUCAAAGUUGUAAACGGACCCCCCCCUCCAACCCUUG